UACAGAGGUGGCAAGCGUUGUUCGGAAUUACUGGGCGUAAAGGGCGCGUAGGCGGCCUUCUAAGUCAGACGUGAAAUCCCCAGGCUUAACUUGGGAACUGCGUCUGAUACUGGGAGGCUUGAGUGCGGGAGAGGGAUGUGGAAUUCCUGGUGUAGCGGUGAAAUGCGCAGAUAUCAGGAGGAACACCAAUGGCGAAGGCAGCACUCUGGGACGUGACUGACGCUGAGACGCGAAAGCGUGGGGAGCAAACAGG
rnacentral:rRNA from 1 species